UGCACUCCUCUCUAUUCUAACGUUUUUGGUGCAAAACUGAUAUCUUUCUUUUCUCUACACGUCUCCACCAGGCUGCUGUAAGAUCAUCCCUGGGUGCAUCAAAAAUGUGGACCACUGCCUGCAAGGGAGCGGAAAUUGACUGGAACCCUGUCAUAAGCAAAAGCUGUACCUCAUAAAAUUGUUUAAAAUCAAUAUUUCUAAUCAAAUAGUUUAAUUUUUCUAUUUUACCUUUUUACCACAUAAAGAACAAUUAGGGCUUAAAAUUUCAAUUCACAAGGUAAAACACCAAAUAAAGUGUUUUAACAGAAUAUUUCAUGUAAUUUCAAGGUCACAGCAGAGUUGCCCUGUAGCCUCGUCGGCAAAGAGCAGGAAAUUCUGAAAAAAGCCUUAAAAAUGCUCCGAAACAGGAGGGAGGACCUCCGAAGGUCAGGAAAGAAGAGAGAAGGACUUCAGCUUCACUCCAACGACGUGUAAGACUAAUGAAAAAAGGUGGGAGAACAGUGGCCCUUGGAGAAAGAACAGAAGCACUUGAGGUUUGCCUCCAGGACAUCACACCUCCUAUUAAGCACCGUUACAAAGUAAUU